AUGGGGUGCUCCCUCUCGGGGCUCAACGCCCUCUACGACGCAGCGACUGGCGGCGGCGACGUGUGGAUCAACGAGCGCCGCUUCCGCGUCCUCCGCCAGAUCGGCGAGGGCGGCUUCGCCUUCGUCUACCUCGUCAAGGAGCACGACGCCUCCUCCUACGCCGCGCGCGACAGGCACCCCUCCCACGUCUCAGACGACGGGACAUAUGCUAUGAAGAAGGUGCUGAUACAGAGCAGGGAGCAACUGGAUCUGGUGAAGGAGGAGAUCCGCGUUUCGUCCUUGUUCAACCACCCCAAUCUGCUACCGCUUCUUGACCAUGCCAUAAUAGCAGUUAAGAGUACACAGGGAGAUUGGAGCCAUGAAGCCUACUUACUCUUCCCAGUCCAUUUGGAUGGUACUCUGUUCGACAAUGCUGCAGUCAUGCAGUCAAGGAAAGAGUUUUAUUCGGUGGUCGAUGUUUUGCGAAUAUUCCAACAGAUUUGUGAAGGACUGAAGCACAUGCAUAGUCUUGAUCCACCAUAUGCCCAUAAUGAUGUCAAGCCUGGCAAUGUUCUUGUAACCUGCCGAAAAGGGCAAGCACCUCUUGCAACUUUGAUGGAUUUUGGAAGUUCGCGGCCUGCAAGAAAUCAAAUUCGUUCUCGUUCUGAAGCAUUACGGUUGCAGGAAUGGGCUGCUGAGCAUUGCUCUGCACCUUUUCGCGCACCUGAAUUGUGGGACUGCCCGAGUCAUGCUGAUAUUGAUGAGAGGACAGACAUUUGGUCGCUAGGUUGCACUCUUUACGCGAUCAUGUAUGGUGUUUCUCCCUUUGAGUAUGCUCUUGGUGAAUCUGGAGGAAGCUUGCAGCUGGCCAUUAUGAACGCACAGUUGAAGUGGCCAGCGCUACCGAGCACCUACCCUGACGCACUUCACAAGUUUGUUACCUGGAUGCUUCAGCCACAGCCUGAGAUGCGCCCUCGCAUCAAUGACAUACUUCUCCACGUUGACAAGCUUGUGGAGAAAUACUCGCCUUAA
rnacentral:rRNA from 1 species